UACGUAGGGACCGAGCGUUGUCCGGAAUCAUUGGGCGUAAAGAGCGUGUAGGCGGCCACUUAAGUCCUGCGUGAAAUCUUGCGGCUCAACCGCAAGCGGUCGUGGGAAACUGGGUGGCUAGAGUGCGGGAGAGGAGAGUGGAAUUCCGUGGUGUAGCGGUGGAAUGCGCAGAUAUCAGGAGGAACACCGGUGGCGAAGGCGGGUCUCUGGGCCGAUAUUGACGCUGAGGAGCGAAAGCGUGGGGAGCAAACAGG
rnacentral:rRNA from 1 species